UCUUCUGACUUGUGUAAUUUUCCUAGGUUGAUAUACCAGUACAACAAAGCUAUCUCUGGUAUGGUUCAAGCAGCGGUGAUACAGAUCCCCAGUGUUCCGGUGCAUACAUUUUCAGGCCCAAUGGAUCCCCUCCCACUGUGGUUUCAAGAGCAGUGCCAUUGAAGGUUGUGCGCGGAACUCUUGUUGAUGAAGUUCAUCAGCAAUUUGACUCAUGGAUCUAUCAGGUUAUGCUUCAUACAUGAUUUCAUUGCAUUAAUACUGAUUAUUUCCUUAUGUCAAUACUCAACACUAGUUAGCAUCAAAAGAGCCUGUAAUUGCAUAGCAUUUCAUUGAGGUUCAUUAUCUUUUGCUUCUGGAAUCUUUUUUCUGUUCAUGAUU